AGCCUUAACAUGGUUAGCAUGGAUCUUCAGGACAGAGAAAGGAAAAGGUUGGAUGGGGGGGAGUGGAAUUAAUUUUUCAGGGCCAAUGUGGUAUAGCAGAUAAAGCAUUGGACUAUGACUCAGGAGACCUGGGUUCAAAUCCCUCCUUGGCCUUCAAAAUUUUCUGGAGAAUAGCAAAGAUGCUCAUGAGGAAUGCCAGACAACAGGAGAACACAAGUUCUUGAACAAGGAGUCAGCCAUUCAGGCAAGAAAGAAGGACAAUCAAGAAUAUCUAAGGUUUUGCGCCAUUUAAAGAAGCCAGGGACUAUGUGAAGAAAACCAUGCUGAGAACCUCAGUAAGGAACCUACUUUCUACAAUUAAUGUGAAGCCAUGUUAGUUUCUGAAAGGUG